rnacentral:sRNA from 1 species
UAUUGGUAGCAUUCAAAUCAAUAUAGCAAGUUAAAAUAAGGCUUUGUCCGUCAUCAGCUUUUUUAAAGCAGCGCUGUUCUCGGCGCUUUUUUU